ensembl:misc_RNA
GUGCAAAGCUAGGCUAGGUCUGGAGGCUGGUGUAAGGCGAUGCGGGUGAAGGCAGGAGGCUGAUGGAGAGAGAGACUGGGGGGAAGAAAAGCCGAAAUGGAUUCACGGUGCUUGGGAUAGAGGACGAGAAGGGGAACUGCUAGCUCCUUCAACUCGUUCUGUCCGGUGAGAAGUGAUCAAGCCUGGCUGACAAGAGGCUCAGGGAGCCCUCACGUACUUUGCUUUUUUACCUGCCAAUCAAACUGCUACAAGACAACACCCUGAUCUGGCAUGGACAU